rfam:Octopus bimaculoides Scaffold10707_contig_41, whole genome shotgun sequence.
ACGCUUUCUGGACUUUUGGAUAAGACCAAAGCGUAGUAUUUAUUCUCACCAGCUUAAUGUCCAGUACAGUUCCGAACUGAGCCAUAGAUAUUAAAUUAUUUUUUUAAGAAAUGAGGUGAAAUUUAAGGGGCUUGCCCUAAAUUUGCCGUGUUGCUGACCUGAUGUUGUAGUACUUCUAGGAUUCAGCUCAUAUUU